GACUCGGAACCGUUUAACUCCAGUUUCAAGGGAUCCCGCGCCCUCUGCUGGUCUCCACUGGUACUGCAUACACACAGCUCACAGACACAUGCUGGCAGCGUGCUCAAACAUGUAAGAUAGCGUGAAUUUUAAGGAGGUGAGAGAGCCUCAGGCUAUGACAGGAAGGAACAAAGCAGCAGGGCUCUGAGGAGAUCAAGAAGUCUAUUGACAUCAUCAUCUUUGAUCGGCUUGGAGAAGUAUUUGGGUUGGGGACCUAUGCAGAGGCUUCCGGGUGAGAACGGUGUUCCCCUAAAUUCAAAGGCUGCAAUAGUGUUAAAAGGUCAGAAUAACCAUUGUAUUGCGUCUUCCCGGGACAGAGAUGCAAUGCCAAGGGACCGCCAGAAAAAUACAGUGUUCAUUCGGCUGCUAUUUUGCUUCCAUUUGUUCUGUCUGUGCUGUGCUGAUACAACUGACGUUAAGCUUUCGUUACAAAGAAGCAGAUCUUUAGAGAGCUGGACCACAAAACACGACUGGUUAAUUCCAGUCAGGAUCUGAACCCUGGUCCACGUAGCCCGCACACCACGUCCUCUGUGGAACCCUUCCUGCUGCCUGGACUGACGAAGACCACAGCAGUCUAGCGAAGACCCAACACAGCCCUAGAAGAACAGUCACUGGGCUGCUUACAACACAACCUUAGGGCUGUUAGCUGGGUUCACCUCUGACUCCCAGACCUGGAAUGUUAAACCCUGCCUACGUCUCUUCUACCCAGCCAUUGGCUAUCAGCAUCUUUAUUCAUCAAUCAAAAAUAAUUUGGGGGCAAGGUCACAUAGUGUCACUUGGGUCUACGUGCAGAUUUUUUCGGGCAACCAGGUCUUGGGGGCCUGAUAUUAGCAUCAGAAUAUAAGCUGCACCAGGCCAGCCAACUACAGAGAACAGCAGUGGGGGUCAUGAAUUCACUCCUGAGACUACAGGAUGAAGGGCACCUUCCUCUGUUUAACUUCAGCUUGAAAUUCUCUGCUACUGUCAUAACAGCUUCAU
rnacentral:sRNA from 1 species